CUUUCUAUCCCACUUAUCACAGACUGUUUGAUGUAACCGGUUCUCUGGGGGCAAGCGGUCUGUGGGAGACGUCAGCUGGAACUGAAGGGGCGUUGUAGUAGUGGGAGUUGUUUGAGUGACCGGGCAAGUGGGACCCUAAUCAAAUUGGUGGGUUCUGGAGGUUUGAGGUGAGUUGGUUCUGAUGUGCCCAGCCCUGAGGUUUUGGGUCCUGGAGAUGGGUGUCGCUCUUGGCUGCAGAACAGUGGGAUUGGGUAUCUCUUGAGGGUGGGGCAGGGGGUUAGAGGGAGCCCGGUGCUGUGCCACGGGCUCUGUCUGGGCUUCCCCUGCUUGCUCCUGGGAUCAUUGCCAUGCCCAGUGCACAAAGCAGGGGGGCAUGGGGAGGAGGGAGUGGAGCUCUAGCACUAGGUCAGGGGAUGCCAGGCAAGCAAAGUGAGGGGUCCCACUGAAAAGCAUCAGGGCAGAGGAGGGGGUCCCAGACAAACAACAUGGCAGAUCCUGCUGGAGGGCGUCUGUGUGUCCUAGGCAGGCAGUGAGGGACUGAGGUCCUGGUGUGGGAGUGGGGGUCCCUGGCUGCUGGGGGCUCUUGGUGGGGGGAACCCUUUGGGAUUUCCAACCUGGCAAUCAUGGUCUGGUGGGGGUUCUCUGGCCAGUGGGGCUUUGAGGGGUAUCUGGGGUCCCUGCCCAGGGACUCUGGGGGCUGCGUCCCAGGGAAUAUCUGGUGGGCCCCUGGCUGGGGGGUCUGGGCUCUGGGUACUGGGGGGUGUCUGGGGGCUGCUACUAAGCAUGAUCCUUCUCUCUGAUCAACUUGUGCCAGAGUCCUGGCUCUCAAGUCACUCCGGCAUUCCCCAGUCACGUGCCUGUCACUGU